AACCACAAAGGAACUAUUUCAGUAUCACUCACCUUUCUUGUCUUCAGCAACAGAAACCUCUUUGCUGCUUCCGUAGGAUCAGUUCCCUAACCUGCUGCAUGAGUCUGAACCACUGUUCUUGCGGACCCUGUCAGAUAUUGAGUGAAGCUGUCAUAUACAAGAGCGGGUAAUUGCAACAGCUCCAUCUAUCCGCGGCCUGAAGCUUUGCAAGCUCCAAUUCCUUCACUUCUUCUCUUCGCCCUCCAACAUUGUUCCUUUGCACCAUUUUCGCAAAGGGCAUAAAAAUAAAAUAAAGAAGAGGGCAAAGAAAAAGAGAAACUUCGCAAAAAUAGCAUCAUCGGGUUUUCCGCAUCCGGAGCAAAUUUCUGUCGGCGAUAGUUGCAGAAUUCGUCG
rnacentral:sRNA from 2 species